rnacentral:rRNA from 1 species
UGGGGAAUCAUAGACACUGGGGGCAACCCUGAUCUUGCCAUGCCGCGUGGAUGACGAAGGCUCUAGGGUUGUAAAGUCCUUUCGCCGGGGAAGAUAAUGACGGUACCCGGUAAAGAAGCUCCGGCUAACUCCGUGCCAGCAGCCGCGGUAAUACGGAGGGGGCUAGCGUUGUUCGGAAUCACUGGGCGUAAAGCGCGCGUAGGCGGGCUGCAAAGUUGGGGGUGAAAUCCCGGGGCUCAACCUCGGAACUGCCCUCAAAACUAGUGGUCUGGAGUCCGAGAGAGGUGAGUGGAAUUCCGAGUGUAGAGGUGAAAUUCGUAGAUAUUCGGAAGAACACCGGUGGCGAAGGCGGCUCACUGGCUCGGUACUGACGCUGAGGCGCGAAAGUGUGGGGAGCAAACAGGAUUAGAUACCCGCGUAGUCC